UACAUGUUAAUGUAAAAGCAUAAAAGAUUUUGAUUCUUUCAGUUUUGGUGUAAAUUUAUUUAUACUAUUA
rnacentral:tRNA from 1 species